rnacentral:rRNA from 1 species
UUACGGGAGGCAGCAGUGGGGAAUAUUGGACAAUGGGCGCAAGCCUGAUCCAGCAAUGCCGCGUGUGUGAAGAAGGCCUUCGGGUUGUAAAGCACUUUAAGUUGGGAGGAAAAGCUAAGGGUUAAUAGCCUUUAGUGUUGACGUUACCAACAGAAUAAGCACCGGCUAACUCCGUGCCAGCAGCCGCGGUAAUACGGAGGGUGCAAGCGUUAAUCGGAAUUACUGGGCGUAAAGCGCGCGUAGGCGGUUAUUUAAGUCAGAUGUGAAAGCCCCGGGCUUAACCUGGGAAUGGCAUUUGAGACUGGAUGGCUAGAGUAUGGUAGAGGUGAGUGGAAUUUCAGGUGUAGCGGUGAAAUGCGUAGAGAUCUGAAGGAACAUCAGUGGCGAAGGCGACUCACUGGGCCAUUACUGACGCUGAGGUGCGAAAGCGUGGGUAGCAAACAGGAUUAGAUACCCUGGUAGA